rnacentral:rRNA from 11 species
AACCGAGUCUUAAUUGGGCGUUAAGUUGCAGGGUAUAGACCCGAAACCCGGUGAUCUAGCCAUGGGCAGGUUGAAGGUUGGGUAACACUAACUGGAGGACCGAACCGACUAAUGUUGAAAAAUUAGCGGAUGACCUGUGGCUGGGGGUGAAAGGCCAAUCAAACCGGGAGAUAGCUGGUUCUCCCCGAAAGCUAUUUAGGUAGCGCCUCGUGAAUUCAUCUCCGGGGGUAGAGCACUGUUUCGGCUAGGGGGCCAUCCCGGCUUACCAACCCGAUGCAAACUGCGAAUACCGGAGAAUGUUAUCACGGGAGACACACGGCGGGUGCUAACGUCCGUCGUGAAGAGGGAAACAACCCAGACCGCCAGCUAAGGUCCCAAAGUCAUGGUUAAGUGGGAAACGAUGUGGGAAGGCCCAGACAGCCAGGAUGUUGGCUUAGAAGCAGCCAUCAUUUAAAGAAAGCGUAAUAGCUCACUGGUCGAGUCGGCCUGCGCGGAAGAUGUAACGGGGCUAAACCAU